ensembl:rRNA 5S_rRNA 5S ribosomal RNA
CGGCCAUACCACCCUGAAUACGCCCGAUCUCGUCUGAUCUCUGAAGCUAAGCAGGGUCGAGCAUGGUUAGUACUUGGAUGGGAGACCGCCUGGGAAUACCAGGUGCUG